rnacentral:rRNA from 1 species
GACGUAGGGCGCAAGCGUGUCCGGAUUUAUUGGGCGUAAAGAGCUCGUAGGCGGCUUGUCGCGUCGACUGUGAAAACCCGUGGCUCAACCAUGUGGUCUGCAGUCGAUACGGGCAGGCUAGAAUUCGGUAGGGGAGACUGGAAUUCCUGGUGUAGCGGUGAAAUGCGCAGAUAUCAGGAGGAACACCGGUGGCGAAGGCGGGUCUCUGGGCCGAUAUUGACGCUGAGGAGCGAAAGCGUGGGGAGCGAACAGG